rnacentral:misc_RNA from 1 species
GAGUUGAGGGUACCCGAAGUCGCUAGUCUAACCCGUAAGGGAGGGCGGUGCCGAAGGUAUGCUUGGUGAGGAGGGUGAAGUCGUAACAAGGUAGCCGUACCGGAAGGUGCGGCUGGAUCACCUCCUUUCUAAGAGAAAGGUUUUACAAAAUCGCUUUAUUAGUUGUACAUAAAGCGUUACGCUUUUCUUCUUUCCUCUUUCUCCUUUUUUAUAUAUUGGGCCUGUAGCUCAGUUGGUUAGAGCACU